GCGGUAAUACCAGCUCUCCGAGUGGUAGGGACGAUUAUUGGGCUUAAAGCGUCCGUAGCCGGCUUAGCAAGUCUUCUGUUAAAUUCAGCGACUCAAUCGUUGAGCCGCGGGAGAUACUACUAGGCUAGGAGGCGGGAGAGGUCGACGGUAUUCCCGGGGGAGGGGUGAAAUCCUAUAAUCCCGG
rnacentral:rRNA from 1 species